UUCCGGAGAGGGAGCCUGAGAAACGGCUACCACAUCUAAGGAAGGCAGCAGGCGCGCAAAUUACCCAAUCCUAAUACAGGGAGGUAGUGACAAGAAAUAACAAUACAGAGCCUUACGGUUUUGUAAUUGGAAUGAGUUAAGUAUAAACCCCUUAACAAGUAUCAAUUGGAGGGCAAGUCUGGUGCCAGCAGCCGCGGUAAUUCCAGCUCCAAUAGCGUAUAUUAAAGUUGUUGCAGUUAAAAAGCUCGUAGUUAAUUUUCUGUUAAUUUUUAUAUACAAUGCUACGGUAUUUAUAUAAUAUUAACAUAAUUCAUAUUACUUUUUAGUAUGUGAAACUUUACUUUGAGAAAAUUAGAGUGCUUAAAGCAGGCUAUUGCCUUGAAUACUCCAGCAUGGAAUAAUAUUAAGGAUUUUUAUUCUUCUUAUUGGUUCUAGAAUAAAAAUAAUGAUUAAUAGGGACAGUUGGGGGCAUUUGUAUUUAACAGUCAGAGGUGAAAUUCUUAGAUUUGUUAAAG
rnacentral:rRNA from 1 species